CAGCGGCAGUGUGUAUAGACCGGGUUGACCACCCCCCGCCACCGUUCACGUUGGCACGCACGCGAGGACAUAGGUAGACAGACGGCCCUGAGUAGCAGAGGAGGAAGGGGUUAGCGGUAACAGCCACCACGUUCGUUCGCGCGGCUCCGCACACCCUCCCUGUACCGCCCCGCGAUGCUACCGCCGUUGGGAAAGCUCCUCCUCCUCCUGCACUUGGGAAAGAGCCUUGUUUGCGCUCCGUUUCGACCGCCCGUCAGGUUGAUACCGCCGCCGCCGCGCAAGAUGUACGGCUUAGGGUCUUUGCAACGGGGGAGGAGCUUAAGCGCCGAAAGCGGGGAAGGGGGCCUUGGACGUCUAAAGUCACGGUGUCACCUAUAGGGAGAACUCAGCAGUUUCCUGGACUUCUUUUCUCUUUUCCUCGACGUUCGCUCCCUUCGUCUCAACUUGUUCUCCCUCUUCCUUAACUUUUCUUCCCUCCUUCGACGUCGUGCUCGACCAUAACAGUAGCUCCUCUUUUUGACCGGAGGAAAAGACGGUGAGUAGGUGGUACUGUAACGGUUACUCUAUGGCUGAGUAGAAGUUUCUUACGUUAUGAAGCGUAAACGCAGUAAAGAACCAAACCAAAAGACAGAGAAGACCUUACAGCAUCGUCAAUGAAGUCGGACCUAGUUCCCCCUUCCACACUUUUAGACCAACGAUCGUUAUUAGAUGAAGUAGAGACCCCAAGGACCACGCAUACACAAUACCAUAGCGGGAGAAAUAUUACGAUACUCCUGACUGUCACGCAACUUCAAACCUAACAAAAAGAACGAGAUGAACAAAGUGUAGUAAAAGCAGCAUAAACGACGGCACCGAGGAGGACGACAGAAACUCCCGUUCAGAAACCGUCCUUAAAAUGGCCGCUAACUAGAAUAGUCGCACUUACGAGAUCAACCCUAGAAGAUGAAGUAACCUAAACCUAAUAAACGGGACCUCAGUAACGACUCGUAGACCCAAUAGGUCGUUCACAUGUACAUGAAGGCUCCUUCACCUUUCCGGCGUCUCUACUUCGCACUACGCUGCUCCCCGCGAUACUCUCGCCGUAAAACUAACGGUGUAUAGAGUCUACUACUAUCCAGAGUUCUAAUUAAGGUACCUAAUCUACCGUGCCAUUUCUUUUUAUAUACAUCGUUACAUUUGUAUAUAAAAAGAAAUAGCGGCCAUUCUUUUCACCUGUUCAGGAUGUUACAGUGAAGUAGUAUCGUCAUACUAUUGUGCCGCUAGUAUUGUUUUUGAAUGUCCAAGUAGCCUUUCAAACUGUUCCCUGAUCUAUCGAGCUCUCACCCUAAACGAAGAGGCUGCUACCUCUCUAUAAGAAUCCCGGGAGAGCCACACUGCCGUAGGUAGUGGCAGACUGGUCUGUGUCCACUGGAGCAAUGCCCCUACGGGUUUGUGUUAUUGCUCUUUCUUCUUGGUUUGACCAUUGCUCCUAUUACCAUAUCACUCGUACACUACUGACUCCUCCUAUAACUACGUAGGGCCAAAAACCCUUCAUAGCGUUUCGUUUCACAAUCAACCUUUCUGC
rnacentral:rRNA from 1 species